rnacentral:tRNA from 1 species
CGGGCUAUAGUAUAGUGGUAGUAUACACGCAUGGGGUGCGUGAGGUGGCAGUUCGAUUCUGCCUAGCCCGA